AAAAAAUAAUUUUUGCUUAUCCACGACGCUUUUUAUCGUCCUUGGUUAUGUAGACAGUAUUAUGCGUUGAGAAUACACGUGCAAUCCGCGUGAUAUUGUCUAAUUGGUUACUAUUGCCCGCAACACUUCACCUUUUUGGGAAACCCGAAAAACCUCCCCACUCAAUACCCCUCACCGCCUCUCUAUCGCCUGCUAAGAAAUAUCAGUUUUACUCUCUUAUCAUUGAAAUUAUCUUGUUUGGCAUGACAAUGGCUAUUUAUCAUCUUCUACCUUGGUCUUGUGAAAGGUUCCCUCGACAAGUUAGAGGUAUUUACAAGCUUCAAUGGACCUGAUUUCUAUGGUAUUCCAAGGAACACAUCAAAGAUCAAGUUGAAAAAAGAGCCAUGGAAAGUUUCAGAGCAUAUAUCUUACCCUUUCUGAGAAAUCAUCCCAAUUUCUAUUGGACAAAUGCUUGACUGGAGGCCAUCUUUUUGAUACAAUUGCAAAGCCAUUGCAGAAGUAUGGUGGCAGGCUUUAGCACAAUGAAACGUAUUGCGGGUUCAUGUUAUGGAGAAGAAAUGGUAGUUUCCCUUGUUUAACAACUCUGGUGCACACAAUAUCAUUCAUAUGGCUACUCUUUUCAUAGUGAACCUGCAGGGGUAUAAAUUAGUAGUUUCUCUACUUGAAUUAUUCUACUUAUGAAGGGUUAAACUACCUCUUAUGCAAAUCUGUAGCAUGAAAGAGACCUUAAUUAUUUCAACCUUUGUUUAUUCUUCAUUUGCUCAUGCACAAGGAGAGUGUGAGGUCAUAUAUUACUUUUCUAAACCUUGGUUCCAUAACAUAUUAAACAACAAAGUUUUUAGUAUAGAUUUAAUACAUCAAUUAUAAGCUGAAUAUAUGAUUCACUAGAUCCCCUCUUGAUGCAUUUGUUAAUUGAUCCUCCUCUUGAUUGUUUGUGGAAGACUGGUAGCUGAAUGUCUACCCUACAAAUGUUACGAACAAGCGCUUCAUAGUUUUAUUUUUAGUAUGAUUAUUUCUUGAAUGCCUGCUGAUUACAUGGCCUUGUGUUCAUACUACUUUACUAAGGGAGAAAUUGUGUUUCGAGGAUUACAAGAAAUAUUCAGUAGGAGGAAUCUGAUGUUCGGAAGGUUAUUGAGGAUGAAUAUGAGUAAUGGUAUGUUCAGCUGUAAUUUGAUUCUAUUUCUUCUGAAGUAUAGGGCUAGAUUUUACCUUUCCAUUGAUGGACUUAAAGAAAAACACCGGCCUCUACAUUUCUUGGCUAAAUAUCUGUUAUAUGUAGAUUUGAUCUUCCAUAUCCUGUCGUUGCUGGGAGUCAUUUUAGAUUAUUGGGGCACUGGUGUGAUGUAUUGCGCUGAUGUUGGAUUUUUUGCUGUUUUGUAUAUGCUUUAUGCUUGGGGAUAGGGGUUGAAUGGGGGAUGUAGACUGUAGGAGACAAUUGACAAAGCAACUCUAAAAAAAAUGCAAGAAAUAAGGUAACUCUCACAUAACACUAUGGGAGUAUUUUUUUUAAUAAACAUAAAGAUUUUGCCUUCAUAUGAUUGAGCUUUUUACUGUUUCAAUUCAAGGUCUCAAGUUCCCAAACAUGAUAUCGUCCAUUCUUAUACUCUCAUUUGCUUAUUAUUCUCUUAGUUUCUAAUGAUUUGUCUUGCUCAAAAAUCAUAUUUAUCCUGUAUACAUAUUUCUACACUUUAAGGAAAAAAUAUGAUGUCCAGCCUUGCCUUUUCCUAACAAUUCCGAUGUUUUUUUUUUCAAGGAGAGAAGUCAAUACUAGCCAAUAUAAAUUUGGAUAUAUCUGUUGGAAGCUUAGGUGCAAGAGUAGGCGGUACUGGAGAAGGAAAAACCUCACUAAUAUUUGCAAUGCUUAGGGAGCUUCCUCCGACGUCUGCUGUCUUUUGAUACCAGUGCUAUCAUUAGAGGGACAUUUGCUUGGAUAUUCAAUGCAACUGUUGUCCAACGUGAUAAGGUGCAAAAGAAGCAUGAAGUCCAAUCCAGUUAAGCUUCAUAUGAGCUACUACCAUCGAUAUAUAUAUUUAGUAUAUAUAGUACAUCCUAGCUAGUUAGUUUUUCUAGGUUUUAGUUUUAAUUUCUUGGGUUUGAUUUAUGAUGUUGUUUAGGACUGUUUGGUUAGGAUUUCGGUUAGUGAUAUAGAUGCAUGUAUGUUUGGAUUCUGGUUAGUAACAUACGUGUACGUACUAUGAAAUUUAACUACUUAAGUUUUUGUAAGUUAAUUGAAGACCAAUUAUUCAAAAUU